AUGCAAGUCGAGCGGAAGGCCCUUCGGGGUACUCGAGCGGCGAACGGGUGAGUAACACGUGAGCAACCUGCCCCUGACUCUGGGAUAAGCCCGGGAAACUGGGUCUAAUACCGGAUAUGACCGCCCCCGGCAUCGGGUGGUGGUGGAAAGUUUUUCGGUUGGGGAUGGGCUCGCGGCCUAUCAGCUUGUUGGUGGGGUAGUGGCCUACCAAGGCGACGACGGGUAGCCGGCCUGAGAGGGCGACCGGCCACACUGGGACUGAGACACGGCCCAGACUCCUACGGGAGGCAGCAGUGGGGAAUAUUGCGCAAUGGGCGGAAGCCUGACGCAGCGACGCCGCGUGGGGGAUGACGGCCUUCGGGUUGUAAACCUCUUUCAGCAGGGACGAAGUUGACGUGUACCUGCAGAAGAAGCGCCGGCUAACUACGUGCCAGCAGCCCGGGUAAUUCA
rnacentral:rRNA from 1 species